UACGUAGGUGACAAGCGUUGUCCGGAUUUACUGGGCGUAAAGAGCGCGCAGGCGGUCGAUCAAGUCGAGUGUGAAAGCCCCCGGCUCCAACUGGGGAGGGUCAUUCGAUACUGAUCGACUCGAAGGCAGGAGAGGGUAGUGGAAUUCCCGGUGUAGUGGUGGAAAUGACGUAGAUAUCGGGAGGAACACCAGUGGCGAAGGCGACUACCUGGCCUGUUCUUGACGCUGAGGCGCGAAAGCUAGGGGAGCAAACGGG
rnacentral:rRNA from 1 species